UACGGAGGGUGCAAGCGUUAAUCGGAAUUACUGGGCGUAAAGCGUGCGCAGGCGGUUUUGUUAAGUCUGUUGUGAAAUCCCCCGAGCUCAACUUGGGAAUUGCAAUGGAUACUGGCAGGCUGGAGUAUGGUAGAGGAAGGUGGAAUUCCCGGUGUAGCAGUGAAAUGCGUAGAGAUCGGGAGGAACACCAGUGGCGAAGGCGGCCUCUGGACCAAUACUGACGCUCAUGCACGAAAGCGUGGGGAGCAAACAGG
rnacentral:rRNA from 1 species